CGCUGAAUCCCAUCCCCUCCGGGGGGUCGGGAAAUGUAGCGUUUAGGAGUGAGCGUACCGGUGGUCGCUUGGGCAGCAAGUCCCCCUGACCGGGGCUGUUACCCAGAGUGGGUGCGAGGCCCAUAGCGGCCCGGGCUUCCGCCGGAUGCGAUCUCCUUGGAGUCGGGUUGCUUGGGAGUGCAACCCUAAGUGGGUGGUAAACUCCACCUAAGGCUAAAUAACCCCGUGAGACCGAUAGCAAACAAGUACCGUGAGGGAAAGUUGCAAAGAACUUUGAAGAGAGAGUUCAAGAGUACGUGAAACUGUUUAGAGGUAAGCGGGUGGGCCCUCGAAAUCCAGUGUCGGGAGGAUUCAGUCGGGCGGCCGCGGACAGUGCUGGCGGGGUGUUCACAAGAAAGGUACCCGUGAGCGGGGCCGGCCCCGUGCGCUGCUUCUGCGCUGCCCGACGCAUUUCUUUCCCGGCCGAAGGACGCCGCAACCGAUUGGGGAACGGCCUUAAGGGCGGUAACGGCAGGUGGCCGGUGGCUCUCCCCUCGUGGGCUGGGUCUGCCGGAUGCUAGCCUUAUCCGUCGCACGGCUCGUGACCCGAUCGUGGUAUCAAGAGGCCCCUUGUGUGGCUCUCAUCGCCUCCUCCUGGACCGAUUUAGAUUCGGGAACACGGCAAGGGAGACGGCAGCGGUUCCCCCACUGUGCGGCCACACGGAGGUAUCCGUGGGCCUGCCGGCGGCGCUAGGGGCCGCGUUGGCUGUCUCGAAUCCGUUGGAGUGCUGGCGGUUAGCGGCGAGUAGAUCGGUCACCCACCCGUCCCGUCUUGAAACACGGACCAAGGAGUCUAACAUGUGUGCGAGUCAAUGGGUCUUGGACAAGCCCAGAGGCGCAAUGAAAGCAAAGGGUGGGGCAUCACGUCCCCCCGCGCUGAGAUCCUCGGCCCUACAGCGGUCGAGGCGCAUCAGAGACCCGCCCUAUGCUCCUCGUAGUUUGGGCGGAGUUCGAGCAUACACGUUGGGACCCGAAAGAUGGUGAUCUAUACCCGGGCAGGACGAAAGCCAGGAGGAAACUCUGGUGGAGGUCCGUAGCGGUUCUGACGUGCAAAUCGAUCGUCAGAUCCGGGUCUAGGGGCGAAAGACUAAUCGAACCAUCUAGUAGCUGGUUCCUUCCGAAGUUUCCCUCAGGAUAGCUGGCGCUCGUUGAAACUCAGUUUCAUCCGGUAAAGCGAAUGAUUAGAGGCCUUGGGGCCGAAACGACCUCAACCUAUUCUCAAACUUUAAAUGGGUKAGAAGUCCGCCUUUCUUAGUCUGAAGGCCGGACGACCGAGAAUGAGAGUGCCCAGUGGGCCACUUUUGGUAAGCAGAACUGGCGCUGUGGGAUGAACCAAACGACGGGUUACGGUGUCCGAUGCGAGACGCUCAUGAGACCCCAUGAAAGGUGUUGGUUGCUCUUGACAGCAGGACGGUGGCCAUGGAAGUUGGAAUCCGCUAAGGAGUGUGUAACAACUCACCUGCCGAAGCAACUAGCCCUGAAAAUGGAUGACGCUCCAGCGUCGAACCUAUACCCGUCCGCUUCUGGCAAAACUCUGUUGUAACGGAGGCUUACGCCGAAGUGAGUAGGAAGGCCGCGACGGCGAGCGUUGAAGGUGCCGGGCGUGAGCCCGCCUGGAGCCGCCGUCGGUGCAGAUCUUGGUGGUAGUAGCAAAUACUCAAGUGAGAACCUUGAGGACUGAAGUUGGAGAAGGGUUCCAUGUGAACAGCAGUUGAACAUGGGUCAGUCGGCCCUAAGGAAUCGGAGAAAUCCGUUCCGAAGCGGGACAUUGACGAGACGAGACUUUGAUCUUUCUUGACAUAGCCCGUCCCGCUGCCGACCGAAAGGGAAUGGGGUCAAUAUUCCCCAACCCGGACACGGAGAUAGAGCCCUCGGGCUCAAGUGCGGUAACGCAACCGAACUCGGAGACGUCGGCGGAGGACCCGGGGAAGAGUUGUCUUUUCUUUGUAAGAGUUCGUGUCCCUGGAAUCGGCUCGUCCGGAGAUAGGGACGCUGUCCUCGUAAAAGCACUGCGGCUCUUGCAGUGUCCGGUGCGCCUCUGCCGGCCCUUGAAAAUCCGAGGGAGAGAGUGUGAUUUUCGUGCCGGUCCGUACCCAUAUCCGCAGCAGGUCUCCAAGGU
rnacentral:rRNA from 1 species